UUUAUGUGUGUGGUCUAGACGGGACCUUUGAUUAGCAACAACAACCUGCUGUUUGUUUGCUCUCGGAAUCCUUAAUCAUUCUCCACCCUUUUUCUUUCUCGGCGAUCGCCUUUUCCCGAGGUUUGCAUUUUUAAUUGUCGGCGACCUUUGGCUCCGUCUCCGAGGGGCAGCAGCCGGGCAGCCAGAUGCAGCGGCGGCAGCAGGCGCUGCUGCUGGCGGUGGCGUUGUGAACAAGAAAUUCCUCGGGUUCCACGCGGCCCCUCGGCCCCUUCCUUUCCACCCUUUUCCGCUGGUUUUCAGGUGGGAGUCCGGCUGGUGGGGGUUUUUGCGUGGCGUGGGUUGGGUUUAGGAGGGAGGGACGACGGCAUCUCUCGCAGUCUCGCUCGCCCCUGAUUUCGCUCCACUCCCCCUUGUUCCAUUCGCGGCCUCUGAUUGAUUGGGUUCCCUUCCCGAUUUGUUUCCGCCGAGCUGAAGCCUCCGAUCGGGUUUUCUGGGACAAAAGUUGCGAUUUUUGGGUGAAGUUCUUUCUCCUUGUUUGUUGGAUCGAUCCCCGGCGGGGCGAUGGCGUCGUCCUGCAUCCCGGCCGGCCUCCGGCUGGACUUGGAGAUGGUCAAGGCGGCGGGCGCAGCGGCGCCACCGCGCCCGGCGCACUCGGCGGCGGCGUCCUCCACGCUCUCGGAGGCGUCCAACGCCGCCUCCUCGUCGGCGACGUCGUCGGUCGCUUCGCUGUCUCUCAAGCGCCCGCGCACGCCGCGGAAGCGGCCCAACCAGACGUACAACGAGGCGGCGGCGCUGCUCGCGUCCAUGUACCCCUCCGUCUUCCCCGCCGCCAGGGGGCCCGAGGCGGCGCCGCCCCGCCUGCUCGGCCUCGCCUCCGCCCUCGCCGACGACCCGGACUGCUCCGACCUCCUCCCGCCGUUCCCCGUGCUCGACCAGGCCGCCUUCCUCCUCCGUGACCUGCCGCCGCAGUCGCCGGCGGCGCCGAUGCCCAUGAGCCCAGCCCCAGCCAAGAGCUGCCCGUCGCCGGCGGCCGUGACCAGCGUCUUCAGCGAGUUCCGCGACCCGGCGCCGUCCCCGGUGACCCCUGACGCCGCGGCGGCGGACGAGCCCGGGGAGCUCGACUUCGACGAUGAUGAUGGCUUCGACGCCGACUCUAUUCUGUGCGGCGUCGACGAGAGCGCCGCGGAGGGCAUUGACGGCAUCAUGGGCAAGCUAUCCAUGGAAAGCAAUGCGGCGGCUGUUUCAAGCGUUAGCUCCAACCUGCCCAGAUCCAAGAUAGACCCUUACCUCAGGAGCCUCAUGGUGCUCGGGCUCAGCUUCCGGCACCACGAUCAGCGCAACAUCAACCAAGCCCUAAAGCGGCAUAAUGUUGAUCCUGAAUGGUGGAUGUGCUCUGCCAUACCAGUGAAAGACAUUGCCCCGCGGCCACUACCAUUGGUGGCAAAACCAAUGGUGUUGGAGAAGAAGAAGAGUAAGAAGAAGUUAUUGGAUACCUUAUAUAAGGAUGUAACCACUGAGCAUUGCAAGAAAGAAAAGGAACGGGUUCCUGACUUUGCCAAUUGGGACACUGGAGUUUUGGCAUUGCCAGAGACAGGAUUGGGGUUGAGGUUGAACACUGAGCGGGUGCUCAAGGCGUGGUGUGGCAGAGGCUCGGUGUUUGCUGACCGCAAUGCAUCCAACUUACCGUUGUCAUCUGCUGAUGUGGUACUUGCCUUGAGAAACAGGAAACUGAAUAAAGGAUGAUUGAACCAAUGAGGAAAAAGAAAAACCAGAGCCAAAGAAGGAAGCAUCUUUUCUUUAGCAUCAAAACCUAAGAAAGGCUCCUUAUAAUCCCUAGCCAGGAAAGUGCUCAUCUAACAACUAACUUCCAGACAUUUAUGUGUCAUUUGUGGAAAUGUUCCUAAUUUAAGCAACCUCUCAUGUGAGUGAAUGAGAUUUCCAAACAGUUGAUGUUUAUCUGAAGCAUUUUAAUGAGGCAUAGAUGGCUGGACCUACUUCUGCAACAAUGUAUGAGUUAAACAUGAAGAAAGUGAUAUGUUUCCACAGAAUGGUACCAGCGCUGUUAUCAGGGAAGGCAACAUUCUUAAGAUGCAGCGCAAGCAGAAGCCAUGCGCUCCCCUCCCCUCAAAUAAGAAUAGCCGGUACUACCGGCCUCGGGUCAAUGGAAGGUUUGUCAGCAAGGCAUAUCUUCUCCAGCAACAGCAACAGCAAGCAGCAGAGAAGGAGAGCUAGAGAAGAUGAAUCCAGCAUCUAGGGGCAUUUCCGGGGUUUCACUGACUCCCCGAGAGAAGCAAAAAAAAAAAAAAAAGCUUCUCCAUUUUCAUUUCUGCAGUGUUAUAGUGCUGCAGAUGGUAGAGAUGCCUGUAGAGUGGACUGAUUCCAUGGGGAUGAGUUGGUGGUUUGCUUGCCACUUCUCCAGCUUCAGAUGCUAUUGUAAAGAAGGCCAGAAGGGCCGUGGAGUAAUACUCUAUAUCAUAUA